GGGAAUGUGGCUCAGUGGUAGAGUGCUUGCCUGGCAUGCAUGAAGCUGCUGGUUUGAUUCCUCAAUACCA
rnacentral:tRNA from 1 species